rnacentral:rRNA from 1 species
GGUGGUGCAUGGUUGUCGUCAGCUCGUGUCGUGAGAUGUUGGGUUAAGUCCCGCAACGAGCGCAACCCUUAAGCUUAGUUGCCAGCAUUAAGUUGGGCACUCUAAGUUGACUGCCGGUGACAAACCGGAGGAAGGUGGGGAUGACGUCAAAUCAUCAUGCCCCUUAUGAUUUGGGCUACACACGUGCUACAAUGGACAAUACAAAGGGCAGCUAAACCGCGAGGUCAUGCAAAUCCCAUAAAGUUGUUCUCAGUUCGGAUUGUAGUCUGCAACUCGACUACAUGAAGCUGGAAUCGCUAGUAAUCGUAGAUCAGCAUGCUACGGUGAAUACGUUCCCGGGUCUUGUACACACCGCCCGUCACACCACGAGAGUUUGUAACACCCGAAGCCGGUGGAGUAACCAUUUAUGGAGCUAGCCGUCGAAGAUGGGACAAAUGAUUGGGGUGAAGUCGUAACAAGGUAGCCGUAUCGGAAGGUGCGGUUGGAUCACCUC